UACGUAGGGGGCUAGCGUUGUCCGGAAUCAUUGGGCGUAAAGAGCGUGUAGGCGCCAGACAGGUCCGUUGUGAAAACUCGAGGCUCAACCUCGAGAUGUCGAUGGAAACCGUCUGGCUAGAGUCCGGAAGAGGAGAGUGGAAUUCCUGGUGUAGCGGUGGAAUGCGCAGAUAUCAGGAGGAACACCUAUAGCGAAGGCAGCUUGCUGGGACGUUACUGACGCUAAGGCGCGAAAGCGUGGGGAGCGAACAGG
rnacentral:rRNA from 1 species